rnacentral:tRNA from 2 species
UCCUCGAUGGUCUAGUGGUGAUGAUUUCCGCUUGUCAUUUGAAGAAGUUUCAAGCGCGGGAGACCAGGGUUCGAUUCCCUGUCGGGGAG